rnacentral:misc_RNA from 1 species
AACUUUUGGCAGUGGAUCUCUUGGCUCGCGCAUUGAGGAAGAACGCAGCGAAAUGCGAUAAGUAAUGUGAAUUGCAGAAUUCAGUGAAGCAUCGAAUCUUUGAACGCACCUUGCGCUCCUUGGUAUUCCGAGGAGCAUGCCUGUUUGAGUGUCAUUAAAUUCUCAACCCCUCCAGGUGUGAUGGGGCUUGGAUAUGGGGGCUUGCGGGUCUUUACUGAUGUAAAGGUCAGCUCUCCUGAAAUACAUUAGCGGAACCGUUUGCAGUCCCCGUCACUAGUGUGAUAAUUAUCUACGCUGUGAUGGAUUGCUCUCUGACUAGUUCAGCUGCUAAUCGUCCGUUAUGGACAAUGUUUAAUGAACUUCUUGACCUCAAAUCAGGUAGGACUACCCGCUGAACUUAAGCAUAUCAAUAAGCGGAGGCU